rnacentral:rRNA from 1 species
CCUACGGGUGGCAGCAGUGGGGAAUAUUGGGCAAUGGAGGAAACUCUGACCCAGCAACGCCGCGUGAAUGAUGAAGGUCUUCGGAUUGUAAAGUUCUGUCAGCAGGGAAGAACGGUCACUGUGCUAAUCAGCAGUGAAUUGACGGUACCUGCAAAGGAAGCACCGGCUAACUCCGUGCCAGCAGCCGCGGUAAUACGGAGGGUGCGAGCGUUAAUCGGAAUUACUGGGCGUAAAGCGCUCGUAGGCGGUAUGUCAAGUCAAGGGUGAAAUCCCCGCGCUCAACGUGGGAACUGCCUUUGAAACUGGCAAACUGGAGUGUGUGAGAGGAUAGUGGAAUUCCAGGUGUAGGAGUGAAAGCCGUAGAUAUCUGGAGGAACAUCAGUGGCGAAGGCGACUAUCUGGCACAUAACUGACGCUGAGGAGCGAAAGCGUGGGUAGCAAACAGGAUUAGAUACCCUAGUAGUC